rnacentral:rRNA from 1 species
AGAGUUUGAUCUUGGCUCAGGAUGAACGCUGGCGGCGUGCUUAACACAUGCAAGUCGAGCGAAGCACUUAGGAAAGAUUCUUCGGAUGAUUUCCUUUGUGACUGAGCGGCGGACGGGUGAGUAACGCGUGGGUAACCUGCCUCAUACAGGGGGAUAACAGUUAGAAAUGACUGCUAAUACCGCAUAAGACCACGGUACCGCAUGGUACAGUGGUAAAAACUCCGGUGGUAUGAGAUGGACCCGCGUCUGAUUAGGUAGUUGGUGGGGUAACGGCCUACCAAGCCGACGAUCAGUAGCCGACCUGAGAGGGUGACCGGCCACAUUGGGACUGAGACACGGCCCAGACUCCUACGGGAGGCAGCAGUGGGGAAUAUUGCACAAUGGAGGAAACUCUGAUGCAGCGACGCCGCGUGAAGGAUGAAGUAUUUCGGUAUGUAAACUUCUAUCAGCAGGGAAGAAAAUGACGGUACCUGACUAAGAAGCCCCGGCUAACUACGUGCCAGCAGCCGCGGUAAUACGUAGGGGGCAAGCGUUAUCCGGAUUUACUGGGUGUAAAGGGAGCGUAGACGGCACGGCAAGCCAGAUGUGAAAGCCCGGGGCUCAACCCCGGGACUGCAUUUGGAACUGCUGAGCUAGAGUGUCGGAGAGGCAAGUGGAACUCCUAGUGUAGCGGUGAAAUGCGUAGAUAUUAGGAGGAACACCAGUGGCGAAGGCGGCUUGCUGGACGAUGACUGACGUUGAGGCUCGAAAGCGUGGGGAGCAAACAAAAUUAGAUACCCUGGUAGUCCACGCCGUAAAC